UACGUAGGGGGGCAAGCGUUGUCCGGAUUUACUGGGCGUAAAGAGCGUGUAGGCGGCCACGCAGGUCCGUUGUGAAAACUGGAGGCUCAACUUCCAGCCGUCGACGGAAACCGUGUGGCUAGAGUCCGGAAGAGGAGAGUGGAAUUCCUGGUGUAGCGGUGAAAUGCGCAGAUAUCAGGAAGAACACCAAUGGCGAAGGCAGCUCUCUGGGACGGUACUGAGCUGAGACGCGAAAGCAUGGGGAGCGAACAGG
rnacentral:rRNA from 1 species